rnacentral:rRNA from 1 species
CACGUAGUUAGCCGGGGCUUCUUACUCAGGUACCGUCAUUUUCUUCCCUGCUGAUAGAGCUUUACGUAACGAAUUACUUCUUCACUCACGCGGCGUCGCUGCAUCAGGGUUUCCCCCAUUGUGCAAUAUUCCCCACUGCUGCCUCCCGUAGGAGUCUGGGCCGUGUCUCAGCCCCAAUGUGGCCGUCCGCCCUCUCAGGCCGGCUACUGAUCGUCGCCUUGGUGGGCCGUUACCCCGCCAACAAGCUAAUCAGACGCGGGUCCAUCUUACACCACCGGAGUUUUUCACACCGCUUCAUGCGAAGCUGUGCGCUUAUGCGGUUUUAGCACCUAUUUCUAAGUGUUAUCCCCCUGUGUAAGGCAGGUUACCCACGCGUUACUCACCCGUCCGCCACUAACCCAUAUAUCACUAGGUUUCAAUAUGGGUCCGUUCGACUUGCAUGUGUUAAGCACGCCGCCAGCGUUCAUCCUGAGCCCAGGAUCAAAACUCU